UGUAAUCGUUUCGAUUCCGGGCGUGCAAUGGAUCGCACUCUUGCUUUUCUUGCUUUUCUCUUCGUGGCCCACUCAGAUAACGCCGUGCAAGGAGUGAGAGAAGCCGUUAGAGCAGAUGCAAAGAGCGGAAGGAGCUUCACCGUUACGUUUCUACACUUCAGCGAAUCUUAACAAAAAACGAGCUCUCAAAGUGCGGAAAUUAAAUAAAAAUAUAAUCCAGAGCGGAAAAGCUCAAGCCACACGGCAAACGAACGCGGCAUUAAUAAAAUUUAACCAGCUCCUUUAACUGCCGAUCGGUGAGUUCACUUAUAGGUUUGCAUGGCUUUGUGUACACUGUACGUGUGAUCUCUAAUCCAGUGCUCACUCACUUUGAGCUCUUCGCUCCCAAAACAAGAAGAAGACAGUUCGGAAUCACUCAAAGAGAUUUUUGAAACCUGGAAAUAUUCUUUGCGGAAAGGAUCUUGUGGCCCACUGUGCAUGCGGAAUACCUGCAAAUUGACUAGGGAGUCGAAUCGAAGGGAACUCAAGAUGGGAGAGCCAUUCUCCCCAGAUCGAUUCGGAUUUGGCGACUGCGAAGAGCGGAGAAAGCUCAAGAGAGCGCGGAGAUGGAGAUAGCCGGUGCCAGGGGCUUCGGAUCGCCGGGGACAAUGAUAGUGUUGAUAACAAGUGCUUUGCGCUGGAUAUGGGAAUGGGAAUCUUCUCCGACACCGAAAGCCGUGCACUUGUUAUUGAUUCUCGCAAAAAGCGCACUUCACGAUCAUCGGAGGUCUAUAGUUUCAGAGUAAAAUGUAUGAAAUGAAUUAACAAAUAAAUUGAAAAGGUUUAAUGAUCCAAUAAAGAA